rnacentral:lncRNA from 1 species
GAAAAUGGUUAGAUCUACAGAAGCUCCAGGAUGAGAGUAAUUUCCUGCCAAGGGAGGGUAGACUGUCCAACAUGUUCGUUAUCAAAAAAAUGAAGGAACUGAGGCAGUAAAAUAAACAGAAACUCGCCUUGGGCCUCCCAAAUCCUCCCAGUCCCACCUUUUCCUCGUGAGCCUCAGAUUCCUGUGCAGAGCAGCCUCACCAAUAUGUUGUGCCAUUUCCUAUUCCUGGAAAAGCCCUGGAGACUGCAAGGGUGGUGUCUCACUAUGUUGCCCAGACUGUUUUCUAACCCUGGCCUCAAGCAAAUUUCCCACCUCCUUCUCCCAAAAUGCUGGGAUUACAAGUGUGAGCCAUGGUACCCAGCCUACUUAGGAGGACAUUUACUAUUCACUUACUGAUUUGCAUCAAAUUAUCGAUUGGUGGUGUUUCAGAAGGUGGAAGCUCUGCCAGCCCCACAUACAGCCUGAGUGAGACAUGCCCUUCAUUUGUUAAGCAGCUGAGGGUUUGUAACUGCUUGUGACUACGGCAUGUCCGAGAAUGUUUUGUCUGACGCACGACAAUGAGUGAAUAUAUAAUGAUUCAACAAGAG